GAAAUCCCCCGGCUUAACCAGGGAAUUGUAGGGCGAACUGCUUUUCUUGAGGCAAGUAGGGGUGCAUGGAACUCUUGGUGGAGCGGUGGAAUGCGUAGAUAUCAAGAGGAACGCCAGUGGUGAAAACGGUGCACUGGGCUUGUCCUGACACUGAGACACGAAAGCGUGGGUAGCGAACGGGAUUAGAUACCCUGGUAGUCCACGCCGUAAACGAUGAUCACUCGUUGUUGGCGAUACACCGUCAGCGACUGAGCGAAAGCAAUAAGUGAUCCACCUGGGGAGUACGGUCGCAAGACUGAAACUCAAAGGAAUUGACGGGGGCCCGCACAAGCGGAGGAACAUGUGGUUUAACUCGAUGAUACGCGAGGAACCUUACCUGGGCUUGAAAGGGCAUCGACCUCCCGGGAAACCGGGAUUCUCUUCGGAGCGGUCUCCUAGGUGCUGCAUGGUUGUCGUCAGCUCGUGCCGUGAGGUGUCGGGUUAAGUCCCAUAACGAGCGCAACCCUCAUUGUUAGUUACCAUCAAGUAAAGUUGGGGACUCUAACGAGACUGCCGGCGUAAGCCGUGAGGAAGGUGGGGAUGACGUCAAAUCAGCACGGCCUUUAUGUCCAGGGCUACACACGUGUUACAAUGGCCAAUACAGAGGGCAGCAAUACCGUAACGUGGAGCAAAUCCUAAAAGUUGGUCUUAGUUCGGAUCGGAGUCUGCAACUCGACUCCGUGAAGCUGGAUUCGCUAGUAAUCGCAGAUCAGCCAUGCUGCGGUGAAUACGUUCCCGGGCCUUGUACACACCGCUCGUCAAGCCAUGGAAGCUGGGGAGACCUGAGUUCGUAUCGCAGGAGCGACCUA
rnacentral:rRNA from 1 species